rnacentral:rRNA from 1 species
GACGAACGCUGGCGGCGUGCUUAACACAUGCAAGUCGAACGGAAAGGCCUGCUUUCCCUUGUGGAUUGCGGGUACUCGAGUGGCUAACGGGUGAGUAACACGCGAGUGAUCUGCCCUCAACUUGGGUAUAAGCCUGGGAAACUGGGUCUAAUUUCCGAUAGGACUGCAGGGUGGUGCCUGUGGUGGAAAACGAUAUUCUAGUGGUUGGGGAUGAGCUGGCGGCCUAUGAGCUUGCUGGUGGGGUAACGGCCUACCAAGGCGGUGACGGGUAGCCGGACUGUGAGGAGGCACGGCCGCACUGGGACUGGGAUACGGCCCAGACGCCUACGGGAAGCAGGAGUGGGGGAUAUAGGAGAAUGGGCGGGAGCCUGAUGCAGCGAGGCCGCGUGGGAGAUGACGGCCUUCGGGUUGUAAACUACUUGCGACCGAGAGGAAGACGCCUGGUUGGAAGGGUGGUGACGGUAGUGGUAGAAGAAGCACCGGCUAACUACGUG